UAGCGUAUAUUAAAGUUGUUGCAGUUAAAACGUCCGUAGUCAAAUUUUAGUCUUUAGGCGAAGUGGCCUGGUCUUCAUUGAUCAAGCUCGUUUCUGCCGAGACUUUUUUUUUGGUUAUGCUAUUGUUGGCUUCGGUCGGCGAUAGUCUCUAGCCAAAUGAUUACCAUGAGCAAAUCAGAGUGUUUAAAGCAGGCUUUCAAGCUUGAAUGUGUUAGCAUGGAAUAAUGAAAUAUGACUUUAGUCCCUAUUUCGUUGGUUCAGGAACUUAAGUAAUGAUGAAUAGAAACGGUUGGGGGCAUUUGUAUUUGAUCGCUAGAGGUGAAAUUCUUGGAUUGAUCGAAGACAAACUACUGCGAAAGCAUUUGACCCAGGACGUUUUCAUUGAUCAAGGUCUAAAGUUAAGGGAUCGAAGACGAUUAGAUACCGUCGUAGUCUUAACCACAAACUAUGCCGACUAGCGAUUGGGUCUGUUUAUUAUGACUGACUCAGCAGCUUAGCGAAAGUAAAGUUUUUGGGUUCUGGGGGGAGUAUGGGACGCAAGGCUGAAACUUAAAGGAAUUGACGGAAGGGCACCACCAGGAGUGGAGCCUGCGGCUUAAUUUGACUCAACACGGGGAAACUCACCAGGUCCAGACAUAGUAAGGAUUGACAGAUUGAAAGCUCUUUCUAGAUUCUAUGGGUGGUGGUGCAUGGCCCGUCUUAAUUCGUGGAGUGAUUUGUCUGGGUUAAUUCCCAUAACGAACGAGACCUUAUUCUGCUUAAUAGGCAGGUCAACUUUUUAAGUUGAUUAAUUUAUUUAUAAAUCUGGCUUCUUAGAAAGACUAUCGGUUCAACC
rnacentral:rRNA from 1 species